rnacentral:rRNA from 1 species
UCCGCCCGCUGGCGGCGUGCUUAACACAUGCAAGUCGAACGCUGAAGCUCAGCUUUUGUUGGGUGGAUGAGUGGCGAACGGGUGAGUAACACGUGAGUAACCUGCCUCCUUCUUUGGGAUAACGCCCGGAAACGGGUGCUAAUACUGGAUAUUCACUGGUCUUCGCAUGGGGGUUGGUGGAAAGGGUUUUUCUGGUGGGGGAUGGGCUCGCGGCCUAUCAGCUUGUUGGUGGGGUGAUGGCCUACCAAGGCUUUGACGGGUAGCCGGCCUGAGAGGGUGACCGGUCACAUUGGGACUGAGAUACGGCCCAGACUCCUACGGGAGGCAGCAGUGGGGAAUAUUGCACAAUGGGCGCAAGCCUGAUGCAGCGACGCCGCGUGAGGGAUGGAGGCCUUCGGGUUGUGAACCUCUUUCGCUCAUGGUCAAGCCGCAACAAUGGUUGUGGUGAGGGUAGUGGGUAAAGAAGCGCCGGCUAACUACGUG